UCUUUGCAGCCUUGUGAAGCCGCCCCUGGUGAAUCCUGUUGCUUGUGGGCUCAACAAGGCUGCAGAAAGCAACUCAAAGAAUGAAAAGGCGUGACUUCUGGAGGCUCAGGAGAUUCACGUGCGAUGUUCCUUGGACAGACUCCUGCCUUCCACGGCGGUGAUGGUCUCGUUCAGUAGCUUUCACCUUUCUUCAGGCAGGUAGAUUAAACCUGGCAGCCAGAUAUUGUUUGAAACAGGAGAAGCUCUUCCUGUCAGACACUGUCAGCUGUCACAGUC
ensembl:scaRNA